GCUGGGCGCGGUGGCACACGCCUGUCAUCCAGACAGCUCCAGAGGCUGAGGCAGGAGGAUCGCAAGUGUGAGGCCAGCCUCAGCAAUGCAGAGGCGCUAAGCAACUCAGUGAGACCCUGUCUCUA
rnacentral:sRNA from 1 species